rnacentral:rRNA from 1 species
UUAAGCGGCGCGCCUAACACAUGCAAGUCGCACGAGAAAGGGAGCAAUCCCGGUACAGUGGCGCACGGGUGAGUAACACGUAGAUGACCUUCCCUGGAGUGGUGGAUAACCUGCCGAAAGGCGGGCUAAUACAGCAUGGGACCACAUGGUUUUGACCGAGUGGUGAAAGCGGGCCUCUGUUCACAAGCUCGCGCUCUGGGAUGGGUCUGCGUCCCAUCAGCUAGUUGGUGAGGUAAUGGCUCACCAAGGCAUCGACGGGUAGCUGGUCUGAGAGGAUGACCAGCCACACUGGAACUGAGACACGGUCCAGACUCCUACGGGAGGCAGCAGUGGGGAAUCUUGCGCAAUGGGCGAAAGCCUGACGCAGCGACGCCGCGUGGGUGAUGAAGGCCUUCGGGUUGUAAAGCCCUGUGGGGAGGAACGAACCGUACGGGGGCGAACACCCUCCGUACCUGACGGUACCUCCUUAGCAAGCAUCGGCUAACUCUGUG